rnacentral:rRNA from 1 species
GACGAACGCUGGCGGCGUGCUUAACACAUGCAAGUCGAACGAGAGGACAAGAGAAGCUUGCUUCUUUUGGAAUCGAGUGGCAAACGGGUGAGUAACACGUAAACAACCUGCCUUCAGGAUGGGGACAACAGACGGAAACGACUGCUAAUACCGAAUACGCUUGGAAGACCGCAUGAUUUUCCAAGGAAAGGGUGGCCUCUACCUGUAAGCUAUCGCCUGAAGAGGGGUUUGCGUCUGAUUAGCUGGUUGGAGGGGUAACGGCCCACCAAGGCGACGAUCAGUAGCCGGUCUGAGAGGAUGAACGGCCACACUGGAACUGAGACACGGUCCAGACUCCUACGGGAGGCAGCAGUGGGGAAUCUUCCGCAAUGGGCGAAAGCCUGACGGAGCAACGCCGCGUGAGUGAUGACGGCCUCGGUUGUAAACUACUGUGAUCCGGGACGAAAGGACAGAGUGCGAAGGAACAAACUAGCAUUGACGGUACCGGAAAAGACGAAGACCAACGGCGUAACUACGUACG